ensembl:lncRNA
GGUGGGUGGAGCCGGAUUUCUUCUCUCUGGAGUGCAAUGAAGUGUGCAGUAAUGAGUUAUGAGAUGUCAACGGUUUUGGAGUAACCUUGGGCAGCCUGUAUAUUGAAGCUCAUGGCUGUAUUCCUGUGUUGCUGGAGAAUUUGCAUGAAUCCCUCUAACAAAGAUGAAGACCAUAUGAGAAACCCUCAGGGAAAAGUUGCUGAAAAAUUUCUCCGAGGAACAAACACACUUACAUCCUGUCCCAGAAUACUGCUGAUGACCAGAAACCCUCUUCUCAACCCCUGAGGAACUACAUGGAUGUGAGAGUGUUGAGAGGAUGGUGUUCUUCCCUAGAACUGCGAUUCUUCUGGACUUUUAGGGUGGAUUGUUGGAGCUGGGGCUCCUUCAGGAGGCAGAAACACUGGGGAACAAGGAUUCCACUCCCAGAGGAGGAGACACUCUCAUCCUCACCUCUUGGUCUGUGAUGACUGGGCCCAGCACUGACCAGGUGGCAGGUGGUUUUGAAUUGUGAUGUUGGAGGAGACUCUUGAGAGUCCCUUGGACUGCAAGGAGAUCCAACCAGUCCAUCCUAAAGGAAACCAGUCCUGAAUAUUCAUUGGAAGGACUGAUGCUGAAGCUGAAACUUCAAUACUCUGGCCACCUGAUGCGAAGAACUGACUCAUUUGAAAAGACCCUGAUGCUGGAAAGAUUGAAGGCGGGAGGAGAAGGAGCUGACAGAGGAUGAGCUGGUUGGAUAGCAUCACUGACUCGAUUGACAUGAACUUGAGUAAACUCCGGGUGUUGGUGAUAGACAGGGCAGCCUGGUGUGCUGCAGUCCAUGGGGUCGCAAAGAGUCAGACACAACUGAGUGACUGAACUGAACUGAUCUGAGGACUGCCAGAUCAUGUGGCGGCUCUAUUUUUAACUUUAAAAGUCACUUCCACAUUGGUCCUUAUAAUGGCUGUUACCAGUUACAUAUCACCAGUAGCAAAUGGCGGUCCUUUUUUUUUUUAAUCCAGCUUCAGCAUUUCUUGAAUGUAGACUUUUUGAUAACAGUCUUUUUAGCUCAUCACACAAAUGUUACUAUCAUGAUUCCAAAUAUUGUUUUGGAUAUUGAAAGACAAUACCAC